rnacentral:rRNA from 2 species
GAUGAACGCUGGCGGCGUGCCUAAUACAUGCAAGUCGAGCGAACAGACAAGGAGCUUGCUCCUUUGACGUUAGCGGCGGACGGGUGAGUAACACGUGGGUAACCUACCUAUAAGACUGGGAUAACUUCGGGAAACCGGAGCUAAUACCGGAUAAUAUUUCGAACCGCAUGGUUCGAUAGUGAAAGAUGGUUUUGCUAUCACUUAUAGAUGGACCCGCGCCGUAUUAGCUAGUUGGUAAGGUAACGGCUUACCAAGGCGACGAUACGUAGCCGACCUGAGAGGGUGAUCGGCCACACUGGAACUGAGACACGGUCCAGACUCCUACGGGAGGCAGCAGUAGGGAAUCUUCCGCAAUGGGCGAAAGCCUGACGGAGCAACGCCGCGUGAGUGAUGAAGGUCUUCGGAUCGUAAAACUCUGUUAUUAGGGAAGAACAUACGUGUAAGUAACUAUGCACGUCUUGACGGUACCUAAUCAGAAAGCCACGGCUAACUACGUGCCAGCAGCCGCGGUAAUACGUAGGUGGCAAGCGUUAUCCGGAAUUAUUGGGCGUAAAGCGCGCGUAGGCGGUUUUUUAAGUCUGAUGUGAAAGCCCACGGCUCAACCGUGGAGGGUCAUUGGAAACUGGAAAACUUGAGUGCAGAAGAGGAAAGUGGAAUUCCAUGUGUAGCGGUGAAAUGCGCAGAGAUAUGGAGGAACACCAGUGGCGAAGGCGACUUUCUGGUCUGUAACUGACGCUGAUGUGCGAAAGCGUGGGGAUCAAACAGGAUUAGAUACCCUGGUAGUCCACGCCGUAAACGAUGAGUGCUAAGUGUUAGGGGGUUUCCGCCCCUUAGUGCUGCAGCUAACGCAUUAAGCACUCCGCCUGGGGAGUACGACCGCAAGGUUGAAACUCAAAGGAAUUGACGGGGACCCGCACAAGCGGUGGAGCAUGUGGUUUAAUUCGAAGCAACGCGAAGAACCUUACCAAAUCUUGACAUCCUUUGACAACUCUAGAGAUAGAGCCUUCCCCUUCGGGGGACAAAGUGACAGGUGGUGCAUGGUUGUCGUCAGCUCGUGUCGUGAGAUGUUGGGUUAAGUCCCGCAACGAGCGCAACCCUUAAGCUUAGUUGCCAUCAUUAAGUUGGGCACUCUAAGUUGACUGCCGGUGACAAACCGGAGGAAGGUGGGGAUGACGUCAAAUCAUCAUGCCCCUUAUGAUUUGGGCUACACACGUGCUACAAUGGACAAUACAAAGGGCAGCGAAACCGCGAGGUCAAGCAAAUCCCAUAAAGUUGUUCUCAGUUCGGAUUGUAGUCUGCAACUCGACUACAUGAAGCUGGAAUCGCUAGUAAUCGUAGAUCAGCAUGCUACGGUGAAUACGUUCCCGGGUCUUGUACACACCGCCCGUCACACCACGAGAGUUUGUAACACCCGAAGCCGGUGGAGUAACCAUUUGGAGCUAGCCGU